rnacentral:siRNA from 1 species
GCGUAAUCUAGAGUCUAGAGAUGG